ACCGGUGUUUAUCCCGACAGGGAGACACCCGUACCCAUUCCGAACACGGCAGUUAAGUCUGUCAGGGCCGAUGGUACUUGCACCCAAUUCGGUGCUGGAAGAGUAGGUCGAUGCCGGUC
rnacentral:rRNA from 1 species